rnacentral:rRNA from 1 species
UACGAAGGGGGCUAGCGUUGCUCGGAUUGACUGGGCGUAAAGGGCGCGUAGGCGGUUUGCACAGUCAGACGUGAAAUUCCUGGGCUUAACCUGGGGGGCUGCGUUUGAUACGUGCAGGCUUGAGUUCGGAAGAGGGUCGUGGAAUUCCCAGUGUAGAGGUGAAAUUCGUAGAUAUUGGGAAGAACACCGGUGGCGAAGGCGGCGACCUGGUCCGAUACUGACGCUGAGGCGCGAAAGCGUGGGGAGCAAACAGG